rnacentral:tRNA from 1 species
GGUCUUAUAUUCAAUAAUGAUUCUAGACUGCAAUUCUAGAGGUGUAAAUUAUUUACUAAGGCCU